UUCUAAAUUGUUAUCCUCUCAUAAAUGUUUUGUAAAAUUGUUAAAUUACUCGUAUAUAUAUAUUUUUCUUAGUCUUAUGUUUCUUAUUUUAUACGUACUGUUAGUAUCUAAUACGUGUCCUUCCUAACCAAUUAAACACACACACGCACCGGUAUACUCAUCUCCUCCUUAUAACCCCACGUUUACCCAUCCUUACCAUUUAUCUUCAAAAGAAUGUAUAUCAUAUAUAUGUGGACAGCAAAAUAAAAGGGGAAGCCAAAAUUAGAGUGGGAGUGACGGAGAGGGAGAGUCCGAACCAAAGGGAGCCAGAGGAUGAGAGGAGAGGACAGGGGAAGGGAAGGAAGAGGCGUUGCCGGUGAUGAACACAGCCACCGUCGCAGCUUUCUGACCGCCACACCACCAAACCCUAGCCGUUAUAGAGGAGAGGGUGAUCGAAGUAGAGAAGCACCGCGUGAAGGAAGGAAGUUCCAUCGUCAGCGCUGCUUUUAGGGGAAGCCGCUACCACCACGGCGGGGAAACGAACAUGGGAGAAGAGGUUUCGUUGAUGCUGUCACAGAGGAAGAGGACGAGACGUGUGUGAGAGAGUGACGCGCCGAGGAGGGACCAUUCCUCUGCCGCUGCCGCUGCCGGAAUCUUCGGUCGCCGCCAUCAAUAGUGGUGAGUCAGUUAAACCCUAGCCAUGAGAACCACCAUCUCUGAACCUUUGCCGCUCUGUAAAUACCCAGUAUCUACCUCUGAUGUUCUUGACUAUGUUAUGUUUGUUGGAGCUUGUCUCCAUGGAGUUACUGGCGGGGUGUUGCUGCUGCCGGAACCACCGCGGGGUGCUGCUAGGAAUCGCUGCUGCCCUGCUUCCGCUAUACUUAGGUUUAACAUCCAUUGGCCUGGAGCUGUUUCUGCCUUUCGAUUCCAUUGAAUUCGAAAUCUUCAUUUCACUGCAACCAUGGUCAUUGUUGUGGAAGUUAAUGCUACUGCCGUCCCGGUUGUGUUGAGAUGUAGUGCUGCUGCUUUCUGGGCAGAAACGGUUGCGUGACUAGUAGAGGUACAGCCAGCUGUCUCGCAACAAUUCUGCCAACGGUCUCUUGUAAUUGCGACAUCGAGUGACACAGGUUUGAAGACGCAACUUGAAGCUGCGAGCGAUUAGUAGGUUUUCUUUAUGGUUUUAAUUGCUUUCAUAGAGUCCCCUCGCUCUUUUCCUUUGAAGUUUUAUUUUAUCAGAGGGGUAGGUAUUGUAUUUGGGUUUAUAUGACUUUCUAUGUAUAAGAAUUACUAUUAAUAAUACUUAUAUGAUUGUAUUAUUAUUUGCAA